rnacentral:rRNA from 1 species
GAUGAACGCUGGCGGCGUGCCUAAUACAUGCAAGUCGAGCGAACAGACGAGGAGCUUGCUCCUCUGACGUUAGCGGCGGACGGGUGAGUAACACGUGGAUAACCUACCUCUAAUACUGGGAUAACUUCGGGAAACCGGAGCUAAUACCGGAUAAUAUAUUGAACCGCAUGGUUCAAUAGUGAAAGACGGUUUUGCUGUCACUUAUCGAUGGAUCCGCGCGGCAUUAGCUGGUUGGUAAGUUAACGGCUUACCAAGGCAACGAUGCGUAGCCGACCUGAGAGGGGGAUCGGCCACACUGAAACUAGGACACGGUCCAGACUCCUACGGGAGGCAGCAGUAGGGAAUCUUCCGCAAUGGGCGAAAGCCUGACGGAGCAACGCCGCGUGAGUGAUGAAGGUCUUCGGAUCGUAAAACUCUGUGAUUAGAGAAGAACAAAUGUGUAAGUAACUAUGCACGUCUUGACGGUACCAAAGCAGAAAGCCACGGCUAACUACGU